rnacentral:rRNA from 1 species
GUGCCAGCAGCCGCGGUAAUACGUAGGUGGCAAGCGUUGUCCGGAUUUAUUGGGUUUAAAGGGUGCGUAGGCGGCUUUGUAAGUCAGUGGUGAAAUACGGCAGCUCAACUGUCGAGGUGCCAUUGAUACUGCAGAGCUAGAGUACUGAUGAGGUAGGCGGAAUGGACGGUGUAGCGGUGAAAUGCUUAGAUAUCGUCCAGAACACCGAUAGCGAAGGCAGCUUACUAAAGAGUAACUGACGCUGAGGCACGAAAGUGUGGGGAUCAAACAGGAUUAGAAACCCUAGUAGUCC